rnacentral:tmRNA from 1 species
GGGGGCGUAAUGGUUUCGACGGGGAAUGGGUAGGUACAGGAAGCGAGCAGUGGUCACCGCAGGCCACUUUAAACAGGCGGUACUGCUUAACUGCAGAAGAUAACUACGCUUUAGCUGCUUAAUUGCAGCCUAACCUCUUACCUUCUGUACUCCCGGUGAGGGAUAAGGGGUCAUUUUAGGGAGUUAGUCACGGUCAAUUCUCGGAGACUGGUGGCGAAAUUUAUCGAGAUAGCCUGACCAACGCUUUGUCGCUUGUGCGGAAGGAUGGCGAAAUCUAAAACAAGAGACUACGCUCGUAGAUGCCUCUGUUGACUCUUCUUCGGACGCUGGGUUCGACUCCCGCCGCCUCCACCA